UUCCAUGAAAUCUUCCAAAAAUAACCAUGAAAGUGUCGAAUAUCAGAUGCCAUCAUGAAUAACCUCACCUCCAGAUUGAACUCCUAAACAUCUUGACAAUGACUAUCUACUGAGAUAUCUUGCCUUCUUGAGAUUGGAAGUUUUAAGUUCAAGUCAGAGUGACCUAAGGCCCUACUAACAAGAAGAAUCCAGAUUUACAUAAA